AGAGGACCCGUUGGUGGCAUUGCAGCGGAGGCCCUGACUGUGAGACCGCGGCCGGAGGACUGACGAGAUUGGGUGCGAACGGGGACGACGGAAGAGGAAAGGAGGAGUGUGAAGUCCGGCUGUCACUCUCCAGAUAACUGAGUAGCGUGGGGAGCAGGCGGAGCAUCUAACAAUGCACCCCAGAAGUGCGGUCAUUUUCGUCUUCUUCGUUGCAGGCUGUGGUCUUUUAAUGGCGGACGGAGCACGCCUUCUUCGGGGUUUUGACCACACUGCCUACGGUAACGUGCGGUCGCUGAUCUCCGGAAUACAUUCCGUUGUGCGCGUCGAGGGCCACCCGGAAGAGUGUGUCAUUAAUGGCAGGCUGGGGUUCAUUUUGAGCAGCGGGUCUUGCGUCGAGGCCGUCACGACACCGCCCUGCGCCGGGUGCUACGGUUCCUGUGGUGAUGUGUGCUGUCCCCGCUGGCCCUGCUGAGUCAGCCUGGAGAAGCCGUGUUACUCAGAGACGGGUGCGCUGAGCCAGCCCGGCUGCGGACGGUUGUGUGCUCACAUGGCUUGUUGCGGAGUCGCUGUGCUAAAGAAACACUGACACUGAUGUCAGAGCUUGGUUUGACCAUGAGUGGUGAUGAACCCGCGGCGUCACCCUGUGAUAUGUGCCGCUAAUAGAAAAACUUGGGUUCGAAAGCCAUGAGCCUCGCAGUCAACUAACUAGACAGCACGUUUGCAGGAUUGGCAUGUAUUUGUAUGGAGCUCAUUUUACGGGCCAUACAAGUUAUUUGAAAUGUAAAGAAAUGACUAAAGCUAUUGUUUGGUGUUAGCUGAAAUAAAGCAUCUUAGUUUUCCGUUGAGCCGGUAACCGACACCAAUAAAGCUACAAAAAGUGAUUGGUGUGGGUGACAGACGACGCGAAAAAGUCGCACACUACAAGAAAAGGUGGCUCGUUAUUUGCAACAGAUGCAGGCG